rfam:Strongylocentrotus purpuratus Contig11775_fixed, whole genome shotgun sequence.
GGCAUGGUGGCUCAAUGGUUAGAGCGUCCGCCUCAUGUGAACGGGAGGUCGUGGGUUUGAUCCCCGGCCGAGUCA